GAAAAUCCAUUUCUUCAGGUUGUCGGGUGGUGGGCGUCGAAGGAGUCGAAAAAAUCGUGCAAGAGUUUGGGGAGGAGCACAAGCUUGACUUCCGUCUCACCAAGACCGCUCAUGGCAAGACUUACCAGACGCCAGACGGACGGCUGCAGAUUGUGGUGGAGGACCUCUUCAGUUUGUCACCCGCAAAAAUUGGACUCUUCGACGUUGUGUGGGACCGCGCUUCCAUCAUCGCCAUCAACGUCUGCGACAGAGAGAAGUACGCGGCAGUGAUGAUGAGUCUGCUGGAGCCUGAAUUUCGGUAUCUCCUGGUCAGCCUGGACUACGCUCCUUUUCCAAAUUUCAACGGCCCACCAAGCUCCAUUCCUCUUUCUGAACUGACCGUGCUGUAUGGU